AUUGAACGCUGGCGGAAUGCUUUACACAUGCAAGUCGAACGGCAGCACGGGGGCAACCCUGGUGGCGAGUGGCGAACGGGUGAGUAAUACAUCGGAACGUGCCCAAUCGUGGGGGAUAACGUAGCGAAAGCUACGCUAAUACCGCAUACGAUCUACGGAUGAAAGCGGGGGAUCGCAAGACCUCGCGCGAAUGGAGCGGCCGAUGGCAGAUUAGGUAGUUGGUGGGGGUAAAGGCUCACCAAGCCGACGAUCUGUAGCUGGUCUGAGAGGACGACCAGCCACACUGGGACUGAGACACGGCCCAGACUCCUACGGGAGGCAGCAGUGGGGAAUUUUGGACAAUGGGCGCAAGCCUGAUCCAGCCAUUCCGCGUGCAGGAUGAAGGCC
rnacentral:rRNA from 1 species